UACAGAGGUCUCAAGCGUUGUUCGGAAUCACUGGGCGUAAAGGGCGCGUAGGUGGCCUGCUAAGCGUGCGGUGAAAGUCGGGGGCUCAACCCCCGAUCGGCCGUGCGAACUGGGAGGCUUGAGCACUGUAGAGGCAGGCGGAAUUCCGGGUGUAGCGGUGGAAUGCGUAGAGAUCCGGAAGGAAGCACCGGUGGCGAAGGCGGCCUGCUGGGCAGUUUGGCUGACAGCUGAGGCGCGACGAGCGUGGGGAGCAAAGCAGG
rnacentral:rRNA from 1 species